GUGGGGAAUAUUGGACAAUGGGCGAAAGCCUGAUCCAGCCAUGCCGCGUGUGUGAAGAAGGUCUUCGGAUUGUAAAGCACUUUAAGUUGGGAGGAAGGGUAGUAACCUAAUACGUUGCUACUUUGACGUUACCGACAGAAUAAGCACCGGCUAACUUCGUGCCAGCAGCCGCGGUAAUACGAAGGGUGCAAGCGUUAAUCGGAAUUACUGGGCGUAAAGCGCGCGUAGGUGGUUCAGUAAGUUGGAAGUGAAAUCCCCGGGCUCAACCUGGGAACUGCUUUCAAAACUGCUGAGCUAGAGUACGGUAGAGGGUGGUGGAAUUUCCUGUGUAGCGGUGAAAUGCGUAGAUAUUGGAAGGAACACCAGUGGCGUAAGCGGCUAUCUGGACGAGUAUUGACGCUGAGGCACGAAAGCGUGGGGAUCAAACAGGAUUAGAAACCCCAGUAGUCC
rnacentral:rRNA from 1 species